rnacentral:rRNA from 1 species
UACGGAGGGUGCAAGCGUUAAUCGGAAUGACUGGGCGUAAAGCGCACGCAGGCGGUUUGUUAAGUCAGAUGUGAAAUCCCCGCGCUUAACGUGGGAACUGCAUUUGAAACUGGCAAGCUAGAGUCUUGUAGAGGGGGGUAGAAUUCCAGGUGUAGCGGUGAAAUGCGUAGAGAUCUGGAGGAAUACCGGUGGCGAAGGCGGCCCCCUGGACAAAGACUGACGCUCAGGUGCGAAAGCGUGGGGAGCAAACAGG